ACGAUGAACCACUUCGGUGGGGAUUAGUGGCGAACGGGUGAGUAACACGUGGGCAAUCUGCCCUGCACUCUGGGACAAGCCCUGGAAACGGGGUCUAAUACCGGAUACGACCAUCUUGGGCAUCCUUGAUGGUGGAAAGCUCCGGCGGUGCAGGAUGAGCCCGCGGCCUAUCAGCUUGUUGGUGAGGUAAUGGCUCACCAAGGCGACGACGGGUAGCCGGCCUGAGAGGGCGACCGGCCACACUGGGACUGAGACACGGCCCAGACUCCUACGGGAGGCAGCAGUGGGGAAUAUUGCACAAUGGGCGAAAGCCUGAUGCAGCGACGCCGCGUGAGGGAUGACGGCCUUCGGGUUGUAAACCUCUUUCAGCAGGGAAGAAGCGAAAGUGACGGUACCUGCAGAAGAAGCGCCGGCUAACUACGUGCCAGCAGCCGCGGUAAUACGUAGGGCGCAAGCGUUGUCCGGAAUUAUUGGGCGUAAAGAGCUCGUAGGCGGCUUGUCACGUCGGUUGUGAAAGCCCGGGGCUUAACCCCGGGUCUGCAGUCGAUACGGGCAGGCUAGAGUUCGGUAGGGGAGAUCGGAAUUCCUGGUGUAGCGGUGAAAUGCGCAGAUAUCAGGAGGAACACCGGUGGCGAAGGCGGAUCUCUGGGCCGAUACUGACGCUGAGGAGCGAAAGCGUGGGGAGCGAACAGGAUUAGAUACCCUGGUAGUCCACGCCGUAAACGGUGGGCACUAGGUGUGGGCAACAUUCCACGUUGUCCGUGCCGCAGCUAACGCAUUAAGUGCCCCGCCUGGGGAGUACGGCCGCAAGGCUAAAACUCAAAGGAAUUGACGGGGGCCCGCCAAGCGGCGGAACAUGUGGCUAAUUCGACGCACGCGAAAACCUUACCAGGCUUGACUACACCGGAACGUCCAAA
rnacentral:rRNA from 1 species